rnacentral:rRNA from 1 species
AGCGAACGCUGGCGGCAGGCUUAACACAUGCAAGUCGAGCGCCCCGCAAGGGGAGCGGCAGACGGGAUAGUAACACGUGGGAACGUACCUUUCAGUUCGGAACAACCAAGGGAAACUUUGGCUAAUACCGGAUACGCCCGUAAGGGGAAAGAUUUAUCGCUGAAAGAUCGGCCCGCGUCUGAUUAGCUAGUUGGUGGGGUAAUGGCCCACCAAGGCGACGAUCAGUAGCUGGUCUGAGAGGAUGAUCAGCAUCACUGGGACUGAGACACGGCCCAGACUCCUACGGGAGGCAGCAGUGGGGAAUAUUGGACAAUGGGCGCAAGCCUGAUCCAGCCAUGCCGCGUGUAUGAUGAAGGCCUUAGGGUUGUAAAGUCCUUUUAACGGGGAAGAUAAUGACGGUACCCGUAGAAUAAGCCCCGGCUAACUUCGUGCCAGCAGCCGCCGUAA